rnacentral:lncRNA from 10 species
CUCUCACUGCUUCUCUUCUGGAUCACCUGGCACCACACAGUUCUGUUUUCAGAACCCCAGAGAGCACGGAGGGCCGCAGCCACGCUGGUGGAUGAGAGAGACCGCUAGGCAGUGACCUGUGACUGGCUUCCACCAACAGCAGAAGGUUCAGCGGCUCUGAUGGUGCAGAAAUUGGCUUCAGUGAGGCCCUGGGAGGGAGGGAGGACCUGGUGGCUGGUGGGGCCCACUGACAAGUGUGUCAUCAGCUUACCCCGCAUCCUUGUGAAUUCUGUGGCCCCAGCUAGGUCUGCGUGAGAGUCCUGGGCAGGCACUGCCUGAGUAGUAAGGGUCAGGACCGCAUCUCUGGCUUUGUGUCUUCCUAACUGUGUGAUCUUGGGCACAAGUUAAAGUCUCUCAGUUUCUUCAUUUGUGCAGUGGGUCUUCUGCUCUCCACAUUACAGGGUCAUAUCAGGGCAGACAAGGGGUAGAGGAUGCUUUGUGACUCUGUGUGGCCGGAAGUUUUAUUCCCCACUCAGAUGGAGAUAUAGGGGUGCAGAGACUUAGAUUGAUGGAAUCCUUAGGUAGGAAGCAGAGGCUCAGAGAGGGCAAGUGGCUUCUCCAAAAGACCCAGCAGAAGUCCGAGGGAAGGUGGAGCUCGAGGCCCACCUAGUCCCCUCCAUCUUUUAGCAAAGAGUGACAGCAGGAACUGGGGUCAGGUGUGGCUCUGGAUGACUGUCCUGGCAAGGGGGCCCUUCCUGGGGGAGCGGGGCCUUCUUCCCGAGGUGAGCUUCUGCGCGACCCCAGGGAGGGAGCAUGGCUGAGCAGGUGGGCCUGGUCCAGUGCCCUCUCUGCAGCUUAUUUACCAGCUGGUUUCAGACAAUUGCUGGCCUCGCUGAGCCGCAGUUUCCUCCCCAGAAGUUGGGGACGGUAAUGCCUCCCUUGCAGGGCUGUUGUAAAAAUCAAACGCAAAAAGCCUUAAGGCUGCCUAUGGAGAGAUCUGUGGGAAAUGCACUUCUCAGGUCCAAGAUGUUGGGGUCUGCAUCCGCUUCAGUGGCUGCCCUUCACCUGACGUGGUGGGGAGAGGCCUAUUCCCAGGGUCCUUUGUGGAUUGAGGGCCAAUAAUGGGGACAGGGAGAUGGUGAGGUGGGAGAGGCCCAGUCAGGUGUGUUUGCGGGGAGUGCGUCUGGCUCCAGUGGUUAGUUUCCUCCCCCAGACCUCACUUCUCCACCUGUCAGAUGGGGGAGGCAUCCCCCAUGGCCAUGAAUCACAGCCUCUCUAGGAACAGAAGGCACAGACAGAAGCUGCCUCACACCUGUGGGUUUGGUGGGCUGGUUUGCUCAGGCUCUGGAGCCUCGAAAUAUGCACGGGGCAGAAAUUGCCUGAGUGUGCAGAGGCAGGUGUGAAUAUCUGACAUGAGCAAGGCAAAGUAUUUAGAAGAGGAAGACGCUGUGGGGGCUAUCUAGGUCACUGAGGCUCAGAGAGGGACAGCGCCUCACCCAAGGCCACAGAGAAAAAUAGUGUUUGAGCCAAAACUCAAACACUGUUCAGCCCAUAGUUGAGGAAUCUUCUAGUUGGAAGAGGCUGAGGUCAUUUGGUCUAACUUUCCACCUAAGAGUCCCUGUUUACACGCUUCCAGGAAUGAGGAGCUCACUAGCUUAUACGGCAGUCUAUUUGUUUUGCAAUAGCUCUGGUCUCUAAAUAUUUCUCUUUCAUAUUGAGCUAAAAAAUCUAUUCCCAAUCACUUCUACUCUCUACCCUCUAACGUGCGUUGCUUCCACAUACAG